UACGUAGGGGGCGAGCGUUAUCCGGAUUCACUGGGUGUAAAGGGAGCGUAGACGGCCAUGCAAGCCAGGGGUGAAAGCCCGGGGCCCAACCCCGGGACUGCCCUUGGAACUGCAUGGCUGGAGUGCGGGAGGGGCAGGCGGAAUUCCUGGUGUAGCGGUGAAAUGCGUAGAUAUUAGGAGGAACACCAGUGGCGAAGGCGGCCUGCUGGACUGCAACUGACGUUGAGGCUCGAAGGCGUGGGGAGCAAACAGG
rnacentral:rRNA from 1 species